CGCGUAUGCAACCUACCUUAUUCAGGGGGAUAGCCCGAAGAAAUUCGGAUUAACACCGCAUAAAAUCACAGUCCAGCAUUGGAUAAUGAUCAAAUAUUUAUAGGAAUAAGAUGGGCAUGCGUGUCAUUAGCUAGUUGGCGGGGUAACGGCCCACCAAGGCGACGAUGACUAGGGGAUCUGAGAGGAUGACCCCCCACACUGGUACUGAGACACGGACCAG
rnacentral:rRNA from 1 species